CCGGUCCGAGCGCCCAGAGAGAGACCUGACCGGUCGCCAUGUUGAAGCUCAGGAGCUACUGCGGGCCGAGGGAGGCUUCGGGGCUCGUGGAGCUGAGAAGGGACACGAUUCUGAUGCUCACUUUGGAAAGAUGGGAAAUUUUACUUCCUUCUGAGUGUCUCUGAAAACUUAAAAAUGCUGAUAUGAAUAAUUUGUGUUGUUUGUUCUCCCUCUCUUUUGUAUUUAAUUGUGAAAGCUGAGUUUUACGCAGAAGAUGUAGCUCAAUGGUAAGAAUUCACCUAGCAUAUACUCAAGGCCUUGGAUUGGAUUCCCAGCCCUGGUUUGUUUGUAUCAGGGAAAAUACAUACUAUGCCUCUGUUAGAAGUUAAUAAAAUUCAAAAGAUAACUACGCUAUUCAGAAAACAGUUAAAAUAAUUUUCAAAGACUCGGCUUAUGUUGUGAGAAGAAACAAUGCCUGUGGCAAAAGCCAUUCAUCCAUAAAUUCAACAAUGUAAAAGCCUCAGAAAUAUCGAUGUCCUUCUACCUGUAAUGAUGCUUUGUUGAAAUGAAAUUCACAUAUGCAGUUCAUCCAUUUAAAGGGUGUAGUCCAGUGCGUUUUAGUUUGCUCAGAUUUCCAACGGUGAACACAAUUAUACAAGAAAACUAUACUAUGCAAAACCAUGUGCUUAGACUUAACUGGAAGGAUAAAUGAAAAUGGGGGAGAAAAAACAAAAAUACUAAGAGUUGUAAUGAAAAACUUUUAUAGCAUCAAAGGAAGUUAUUACAAAGUCCUGUCACUAGUCCAUCCAAUCCAAUCCAGGUGUCUGGCAAAUGUGGACUUAGCUGUAUCUUAG
rnacentral:lncRNA from 1 species